rnacentral:rRNA from 1 species
CUGAUGGAGCAUACUACGUGAAGGAGGAAGGUCUACGGAUUGUAAACUUCUGUUAGCGCGGAAGAAGGGCUGAGCGCAAGUUCAGUUUUGACGGUACGCGCAGAGAAAGCCACGACUAACUACGUGCCAGCAGUCGCGGUAAGACGUAGGUGGCGAACGUUAUCCGGAAUCAUUGGGCGUAAAGGGUGCGUAGAUGGCAUAAUAAGUUAUUAGUGGGAAAUCGAGGCUCAACCUCGUGGAAGCUGGUAAUACUGUUUUGCUUGAGUGCAGGAGAGGUUAACGGAACUCCAUGUGGAGCGGUAAAAUGCGUAGAUAUAUGGAAGAACAUCAAUAACGGCGAAGGCAGUUAACUAUUCUGUUACUGACAUUGAGGCACGAAAGCGUGGGGAGCAAAACGGAUUAGAUACCCGUGUAGUCCACGCCCUAAACGAUGAGUACUAGGUAUUGGGAACUUGAUUCUCAGUGCCGCUAGGUAACCCGGUAAGUACUCCGCCUGGGUAGUACGCUCGCAAGAGUGAAACUC